UUUUUUUCCAUGGUACUACGUAGUGGUGAUUUUGGUUGUGGGGGUGUGUAUGUGGUUGGACGCCGUACAGGUGAUGAUGGUGUUUUUGGUGUAAACGAACACACCAAAAGCUGAAACCACCUGUCUCUGUUUAGAUGGCACUAACAAGUUCCGAACAACAAUUAGACAUCUAAUGCUCUCAUACCCCAAGUCUCAAGAUGAAUUUAGACAAAUCUAAUCCACAAGAAGCAUUAAAUAUAUCAGUGUGGAAACAAUAAUUCUACCCCCAGGCCCCAGCACCCAGGGAAACAUAAAUACAAAAGGUUUUCAUCUCCACACUCAGGAAUUUCAACAGAGUUCUUCGCCAAAUAUGAUCUUUUGUGUACAGUGGAGGAUGAUAUCAAACAUUCUGACAAGAGAAACAUGGUUAAUGUGUUUGUAAAAUGAUGCCGACUACCCUUAAGAAAUUUAUCCAUAAUAUAACCCCCAAUGAUCAAGAGUCAAAGAGUCCAUUGGGUACUGACUAUAGACCAGUCUCAACUAAUCGUGACUCUUUCCGAGCACUGGUCAUUUACUAUACUGCUAGAAAUACCAUCACAGGUGACCAGUUAUGGUUUCAUAUCUUGAUGAUUGUUCACUCCGCAUACUCUUUUUUUAUGAUUGUUCACUGCACAUACUAGUUGAAUGUGCAUAUAGGUUACAAGCUGCCCUUGAGCGAUUUACCCUUAAAAUGAGCUCCAUGUGACAGAAGGGCAAAAUGGUUAGACUGAAAGUGAAUGUGCACCCACAUGGUAUCCGGGAGAAUAGAAGCUAAAUCAGUUCAUCCCGAGAGAAUUCCGACAAUAAUCAUGCAAAUUUCUGAAGGCAAUACCAAAGUAGAAAACAGACUAGAUGGAUAGAUUCAAAAUGUAAUCCCAGUUUCAGUGGGUUGAGUUUUCUCUUUUCCAUUGAAUGAUUAGCAGCAGCAAGAAAAGGGUCCAACUCACACUAAUUGUAUUUGGACUGACUGUCUGAACUCUACGGCAAACUAUGAUCAUCUAGCAUGGUACCCGGACGAUUAGAAGCUACAUCAAUUCAUUACCAAAGAAGUCCAACAAUUAUCAUGCAAAUUUCUGAAGGCACUACUCAGUAGUAGGAUGGGAAAUACCAAAGUAGAGAACAGACUAGAUGGAUAGAUUCACGAUGUAAUCCCAGUUUCAGUGGCUUGAGUUUUCUCUUUUCUGCUGAAUGAUUAGCAGCAGCAAGAAAAGGGUCGAACACACACUAAAUUUAUCUGGACUGACUGUCUGAACUCUCCAGCGAACUAUGAUCAUCUAGCAUGGUACCCGGAUGAUUAGAAACUACAUCAAUUCAUUGCCAAAGAAGUCCAACAAUAAUUAAGCAAAUUUCUCAAGUCCCUGCUCAGUAGUAGGAUAGGCAAUACCAAAGUAGAGAACAGGAUAGAUGGAUACAUUCAAGAUGUAAUCCCAGUUUCAGUGGCGCGAGUUUUCGGUUGAAUGAUUAACAGCAGCAAGAAAAGGGUCCAACUCGCACUAAUUGUAUUUGGACUGACUGACUGGACUCUCAGGCAGACUAUAAUCAUGUAACAUUCUGUGUGAAGAACCAAAGCAGUGGGAAUAUAGGACUAGCUUCAAAUCUAUGUUAUUCUUUUUUUCUUGCGGGGAAAUCUAUGUUAUUCUUGCAGCCGUGAAAUGCUGGAAAGAACUAUUGUGGGAGGCGGAGGCCUGCAAGGUGAAUGAAGCUGAUGUACAGCGGCGGAGGUAUGCGUCAGAAUUGGACUCUGAACAUAAACACACAGGAGGUAAUGGGUGGUGUUUCCUUCCUACUGGAAUACCUUGAAAUGUCUUUUGUUUAGGGAGGUUCACAGCUCCUGUUACGAUAUGAAUAUCCUAGUGCGUAUACGGCUUUCGUGCUGGGUAUGAUCAGAUACAUCUUCUAUCACCCUUAUAUGUUCUACCCUUUGUGUGCUGCAAGUCUUUAAGAAUCAUCUCUAUCUCCAUUUUUUUUUUUCAAAAGAUCGAGAUGUAAAUUGUAAUCCCUGAGCAGAUCGUCGGUAAGGUAGAAAAGCUAACGAGUGGGGAAAUCCCCCCUGCUCCAAAUCUCGGCAUCGCACCUGGACAAACAAGGCCAGCGUACUCCCAGAAUCUACGGUUCAUCCGGUCAUGUUGGACGGGAUAUGCGGAGCUAAUCGAAGACGGGGAGGAACGAAGACCUGGUAGAUCUGGCGCGGCGAGCUAACGGAUUUAGAGGGAGAAAGGGGGGAAGAAUAGGCCGGCGAUUAGGUUACCUUCUCGUCCUGGUGGAGGGCGAUCCAGACGUGGACCUUGUCCAUGGACUCCCAGAAGAGGAACGCGCCGAAGGUCAUCCCGAAGAAGGUCGCCACCCGCACCAUCUUCUCCCUCUCCGAUCUCUGGCUCCGGCGGAUUUGGUGGAUUUGGCGACGGCUGCGCGUGGGGAUGGACGGGUUACCUCCAAUCGACGGCCGGGGAUCGGAUUUUGGGCUGAGUGGAGUGGACCGAGAGAGAGAGUGGGGGCAGUUGAGCUGGGCCUCGUUUCCUUUUAAGCCUGGCCUGUCUAGUGAGAGCAGUGAGGACAAGUUCUUCUCUUUUUUUUUUCUCAAAAAACAAAGCUCUUCUAAUAUAUAUUUUUCUCAAGAAAAGUAUUGUUUUUACUCAACUGAAGUUCUAGUUUUUUUUUGCAGAGCAGAACAAGUUCUAGUUGUUGAGCUUAUACUCGAUAAUUGCUUGAAAUAUGAAGUGAUUCGAUUCUCGGCAGCGAAGGGGAGGGGCGAGGUAGGAGGCUUCAGCAGAACGUAGGAAACCACCGAACAAGUAUUUUUGGAGCAUGGGUGUCACUUUAUUUUUGAAUAGUUCAAAAAUCACAUUUGAAGUUUCAAAAAAUGGUUAAACAAAUCCUACAUGGUAAUACGAAUUUAUACUACACAUGUGCGAAGUUUGAUGAUGAAAAAUAUGUUAACACAUGAGCUACGUAAAAAUGGAAAAUUCAUGAUUUGAAAAUGUGACUGCACUGUUCACCACUAAAAACCCAUGUAUUUUGUCUUUUUGUGUGUAGCUCACGUGUUAACUUAUUUCAUCAUCAAACUCUGGGCACCCGUGUUAAGGCGAAGAAUUUGCCUCGGCAUUUCUUUGAACUUCAUAUGUUGAUUUUCGAACUAUGAAUGAAGUGCUCAGUGUUCCAAAUUGACCUUUUAGCAAACUAUUGGGCUACAUUAUCGAGCAGGUCCACAGGGUGAAGGUGCAGGGGUGCAGCUAUCAGUAGUUAGUCGUAAGAUAGAGUUGAUGUUGUGAUACAAGUGUGGGCACUUGACUAGAAAAAAAGACCAUAUGUUUCGAGAGAGCAAGUGCGAAGCACUGAUUCUGAAUGCAGAUAAUAUGGGCAUAACCAACAUGGGAGGACGAUGCCAUCUUCGCAACUGCCAAACUAGUCAUUCAGUGAAGCACCCGGAGCUAUUUGCUCAAACAUACUACUCCCUCUGUAAAGAAAUAUAAAAGUGUUUAGAUUACUACUUUAGUGAUCUAAACGCUUUUAUAUUUGUUUACGGAGGGAGUAUAUCAUGCGUCAUGCAAAAUCAACAAGGAAGGGUUCCAAGUGUUCAACUCCAUAAUUAUGUUUUAUACUAAGAUAAGAUAGAGUACGUACAGCGGUACAGGGGAAGUUCUAAUUAAAGUUCAACACUGCAAGGCUCCAGGCAUAAGUAGCAACAGACAUUGGCAUAAACUCACCAAUCACAGGGGCAUUUAUAUAUUAAUAUAACACACCGAUGGAAGCUAAUAUAGAUACUACUUCACCACUCAGGACGACUGCUGUGCUUUGCGUUGUGCCUUGCCAUUAAGGGCCGCAGUGCGAAGACCCCUUUGUAUCAGGCGCAUCUGUUCUUCCCAGUCGUCCUCGUCGGCGCCGCCGUCAUGACCCCCUUGUGUUUUGCGCCUCUUCUCCUCGUUCCACUCGUCGAACAUAGAUGGUUUGACCACGAUUCCGUGUACUUUGCUCCUCUCUUCCUUGGUAAAGUCAGCAUAUCGGUAUGGUUUGUACCGGGCUUCACCCGGCCGUGAUGCGGCGUUGAGCUCGUUCACCCGCUUGACACACCCCUUGAACAGCUCGUAGCGCCACGCCUUCUCCUCGUCGUCCUUGUAUCUGCGCUUGUGCACCACCAUCCACUCCUCGAAUCUCUUCUUCAUGGCUUUCUCCUCCGGGUCCUCCUCGACGACGGGCUUCUGAGCUGC
rnacentral:lncRNA from 1 species